rnacentral:rRNA from 1 species
UACGAAGGGGGCUAGCGUCGCUCGGAAUUACUGGGCGUAAAGCGCACGUAGGCGGUCUUUUAAGUCGGGGGUGAAAUCCUGGAGCUCAACUCCAGAACUGCCUUCGAUACUGGAAGACUUGAGUCCGGGAGAGGUGAGUGGAACUGCGAGUGUAGAGGUGAAAUCGUAGAUAUUCGCAAGAACACCAGUGGCGAAGGCGGCUCACUGGCCCGGUACUGACGCUGAGGUGCGAAAGCGUGGGGAGCAAACAGG